rnacentral:rRNA from 4 species
UCAGGUAGGGAUACCCGCUGAACUUAAGCAUAUCAAUAAGCGGAGGA